GAUGAACGCUGGCGGCGUGCCUAAUACAUGCAAGUCGAGCGAACAGAUGAGAAGCUUGCUUCUCUGAUGUUAGCGGCGGACGGGUGAGUAACACGUGGGUAACCUACCUAUAAGACUGGGAUAACUCCGGGAAACCGGGGCUAAUACCGGAUAAUAUUUUGAACCGCAUGGUUCAAUAGUGAAAGACGGUUUCGGCUGGCCCUUAUAGCUGGACGCGCGCCGUAGUAGCUAGUUGGUAAGGUAACGGCGUACCAAGGCGACGGUACGUAGACGACCUGAGAGGUUCAUCGGCCACACUGGAAAGGGGAUACGGUCCAGACACCUACGGGAGGCAGCAGUAGGGAAUCUUCCGCAAUGGACGAAAGCGUGACCGAGCAACGCAGCGUGAGUGAUGAAGGUGUUCGGAUCGUAGAACUCUGUUGUUAGGAAAGUACAAAUUUGUUAGUAACUGAACAAGUCUUGACGGUACCUAACCAGAAAGCCACGGCUAACUACGUGCCAGCCGCCGCAGUAA
rnacentral:rRNA from 1 species